UUAUUACUUGUUAUACGAGUUUACAACUCUAACUUAUAGCUUGUUUACACUUUACUCGACAACUCUCUUAUUAGAACUGUGUCUUGCUGCCAGCUCGGCAGUCCUUAUAUAGUCGAUUGUAAGCGAUACAACGCCAUUCGAACAUUCUGGCAACUACGAAUAUCGAUGUCUGGAUACAUCUGGCAAGUUAUCCUUUUCGAAUGUCAAUUCUAGUUUGUUCUGGUGCCAUUUUCGUUAUAGUAUUAUACCCAGCAAGCCAUGGGUUUCUGAAACUCUAACACAUUUAAAGAAAUUUUAAUAUCACCACUACAUACACACAUUUGCAACAAAGGGCAAAAGAUAUUUCAAACCUCAUACGGCGCGUUAAAGGUGCGCAACCUCAUUGGUGUCACUUAUGGUAGCAGUGUAGAACUUUCGAAGCGAUGGAAUGCUGGAUGGAUGCUGCAAGUGAAUCCAGAACUAUGGAUGCAAACGCUGCUUCAUCGAACACAAAUUAUUUACACACCAGAUAUUAGGUUUAAUGUCACUUUUUUUUACGUGCAAUUAAACCUUUUGGUCAACGCAAGCACGUGAAGAAUUGGAACGACAUGGUUUAGAUGUGUUUGUAACCGUUUAUAAAUGGGUUUUGCAAAUGAGCUAGAGGACAAAGCAGUUGCAGUAUUUUUGGACUUACCGGCACCUCAAUUGGUCGUGCCACUAGCAGCUAAAACACUGAAAUUAAAGGAGGACACUUUCCAUGCCACACGGGGAAUUUGAGAUUUGCCACUCUUCCUCCAGCCUUUGUCCGAUAGCAAAAAUUGUCCAACUAUUCAAUAAUAUAUACUUAUGCAGAAUUGGAACGUACAUAUGUAUAUAGUGUAGUACGAUUAUACAUGUAAAAAUUAAAUGUAAUAAUAAACACCUAAA